UGGGGAAUAUUGCACAAUGGAGGGAACUCUGAUGCAGCGACGCCGCGUGAACGAAGAAGGCUUUCGAGUCGUAAAGUUCUUUUAUAUGGGAAGAUAAUGACGGUACCAUAAGAAAAAGCCCCGGCUAACUACGUGCCAGCAGCCGCGGUAAUACGUAGGGGGCUAGCGUUGUCCGGAAUCACUGGGCGUAAAGGGUUCGCAGGCGGAAAUGCAAGUCAGGUGUAAAAGGCAGUAGCUUAACUACUGUAAGCAUUUGAAACUGCAUAUCUUGAGAAGAGUAGAGGUAAGUGGAAUUUUUAGUGUAGCGGUGAAAUGCGUAGAUAUUAAAAAGAAUACCGGUGACGAAGGCGGCUUACUGGGCUCAUUCUGACGCUGAGGAACGAAAGCGUGGGUAGCAAACAGG
rnacentral:rRNA from 1 species